rnacentral:rRNA from 1 species
GGAUGAACGCUGGCGGCGUGCUUAAUACAUGCAAGUCGAACGAAGAGCUUUGUAGUAAUACGAGGUUUCUUAGUGGCGAACGGGUGAGUAACGCGUUGGUGACCUGCCCCAAAGUGAGGGAUAACAGUUCGAAAGAAUUGCUAAUACCCCAUGUGGUCAUCGGGAUUAGAAUCUGAUGACUAAAGCAGUAAUGCGCUUUGGGAGGGACCUGCGUCCCAUCAGCUAGUUGGUGAGGUAAUGGCUCACCAAGGCGACGACGGGUAAGGGACCUGAGAGGGUGGUCCCUCACAAUGGCACUGAAACACGGGCCAUACACCUACGGGUGGCAGCAGUAGGGAAUAUUGGGCAAUGGGCGAAAGCCUGACCCAGCAAUGCCGCGUGCACGAUGAAGGCCAUCGGGCCGUAAAGUGCUUUUCUGGGAGAUGAGAAAGGACAGUAUCCCAGGAAUAAGUCUCGGCUAACUACGUGCCAGCAGCCGCGGUAAAACGUAGGAGACGAGCGUUAUCCGGAUUUACUGGGCGUAAAGCGCGUGUAGGCGGUUCGGCAAGUUGGAUGUGAAAUCUCCCGGCUCAACUGGGAGGGGUCGUUCAAUACUACCGGACUUGAGAGCAGUAGAGGAAGGUGGAAUUCCCGGUGUAGUGGUGAAAUGCGUAGAUAUCGGGAGGAACACCAGUGGCGAAAGCGGCCUUCUGGACUGUUUCUGACGCUCAGACGCGAAAGCUAGGGUAGCGAACGGGAUUAGAGACCCCGGUAGUCCUAGCCGUAAACGAUGCAAACUUGGCGUCGGCGGGUUCAAAUCUGUCGGUGCCGAAGCUAACGCGAUAAGUUUGCCGCCUGGGAACUACGGCCGCAGGGUAAAACUCAAAG